UCUGNUCUGUCACUGACGCUGAGGCUNGAAAGCGUGGGUAGCGAACAGGAUUAGAUACCCUGGUAGUNCACGCCGUAAACGAUGAGUGCUAGGUGUUAGGCCCUUUCCGGGGCUUAGUGCCGGAGCUAACGCAAUAANCACUCCGCCUGGGGAGUACGACCGCAAGGUUGAAACUCAAAGGAAUUGACGGGGGCCCGCACAGGCGGUGGAGCAUGUGGUUUAAUUCGAAGCAACGCGAAGAACCUUACCAGGUCUUGACAUCCCGAUGCUAUUCUUAGAGAUAGGAAGUUACUUCGGUACAUCGGAGACAGGUGGUGCAUGGUUGUCGUCAGCUCGUGUCGUGAGAUGUUGGGUUAAGUCCCGCAACGAGCGCAACCCUUAUUGUUAGUUGCCAUCAUUAAGUUGGGCACUCUAGCGAGACUGCCGGUAAUAAACCGGAGGAAGGUGGGGAUGACGUCAAAUCAUCAUGCCCCUUAUGACCUGGGCUACACACGUGCUACAAUGGUCGGUACAACGAGUUGCGAGCCGGUGACGGCAAGCUANU
rnacentral:rRNA from 1 species